rnacentral:misc_RNA from 1 species
GAUGAAGAACGCAGCGAAAUGCGAUAAGUAAUGUGAAUUGCAGAAUUCAGCGAAUCAUCGAAUCUUUGAACGCACAUUGCGCCCGCCAGUAUUCUGGCGGGCAUGCCUGUUCGAGCGUCAUUUCAACCAUCAAGCCCCAGGCUUGUGUUGGAGCCCUGCGGCUGCCGCAGCCUCCCAAAACCAGUGGCGGGCUCGCUAUCACACCGAGUGCAGUAGUUUACUCUUCGCUCAGGGCGUGUGGCGGGUGCUAGCCGUAAAACCCCCAACUUCUCAAGGUUGACCUCGGAUCAGGUAGGAAUACCCGCUGAACUUAAGCAUAUCAAUAAGCGGAGGA